rnacentral:rRNA from 1 species
GUAACACGUAUGCAACUUACCCUUUACUGGGGCAUAGCUCAGAGAAAUCUGAAUUAAUUCCCCAUAAUGAUAUUGAAUCGCAUGAUUUGAUAUCUAAAGCUCCGGCGGUAAAGGAUAGGCAUGCGGUGUAUUAGCUAGUUGGUGAGGUAAUGGCUCACCAAGGCUACGAUACAUAGGGGUUCUGAGAGGAUGAUCCCCCACACUGGUACUGAGACACGGACCAGACUCCUACGGGAGGCAGCAGUAGGGAAUAUUGGUCAAUGGACGCAAGUCUGAACCAGCCAUGCCGCGUGCAGGAUGACGGCCCUCUGGGUUGUAAACUGCUUUUAUAUGGGAAGAAACCCCGGGAUGCGUUCCGGGCUGACGGUACCAUACGAAUAAGGAUCGGCUAACUUCGUGCCAGCAGCCGCGGUAAGACGAAGGAUCCAAGCGUUGUCCGGAUUUACUGGGUUUAAAGGGUGCGUAGGCGGAUGCUUAAGCCAGUGGUGAAAUCUCUCAGCUCAACUGAGAAACUGCCAUUGGAACUGGGUAUCUUGAAUUCGAUUGAGGUAGAUGGAAUAUAACAUGUAGCGGUGAAAUGCUUAGAUAUGUUAUGGAACACCGAUUGCGAAGGCAGUCUACUAAGUCGACAUUGACGCUGAGGCA